GACUGAUGAGCGUAUCUAGCUGCUGGAUGAGAAAGAGACUCAGAGCAACGACCUUUUCUCAUUAAGGGCCUGGAUCAUGCCUGUUCUACCCGAUAUUCCUUCCUGUCCCUGCACAUAUGCUGGUUUCUUUUAACACAGACUACAUGGGAUACACAGAGGAGCAUGUGGCUGCCAAUGAAUAUGGGGCUUCUGGCCUGUCAGAUAAAACAGGCACACCUUCUGGAUGCAGUGUGUUCAGCUGAGGUGGAAGAGGAAGGUCAUGUGGGCUCAGGCCCUGUCCUGCUAAUUGACUCUCUCUACACAUGCAUCUGAGAAGGAGUUGAGGAUUUAGAUUCAGGAGGCAGAAGACCUAAGCCUUCUGCUCCAAUUCCAUUCUUUACCAGGGGUCAUCAGAUGCUGGCUUGAAAGGGGAUCUUCCUGACCCAGGGAUCGAACCCAGGUCUCCUGCGUCUCCAGCAUUGCUGAUGGAUUCUUUACCACCACACCAUCUGGAAGCCCUAGUAAGAGAGCCGUCGUAGGCAGUACAGAGAUUACUGAGUGUGGCUGUGUCACACUCAUGUUUUAAAAACCUUUUUAUUUUUAAAAAGAGUAUUAGAGUAUAGUCAAUUAACAAUGUUGCAAUAAUUUCAAGAGAACAACUAAGAGACUCAGGCAGACAUAUACAUGUUUCCAUUCUCCCCCAAACUCCCCUUCCAUCCAUGGUGCCACGUAACAUGGAGCAGAAUUCCAUAUGCUAUCCAGUAGGUCCUUGUUGGUUAUCCAUUUUAAAUACAGCGACACAUUCAUUUUUAUAUGGAUCAUAUUUUAUCUAUAAAUACUAUUUAUGGACACUGAAAUUUGAAUUUCAUAUUGUUUUCAAGCACCUUGAAAUGUUACUCUUUUUAUUUUUUUCAGCAAUUUAUAAAUAUGAAAA